CCAGUUUUUCAGAUUGUGGUGCGAAGGUCGCGGUGCGCCUUGCGUGAUGCCCUUCCGUGCAUUUGACGCCUGCCUGGUACCUGUGUAGAAGAAGUCGUCGCCAUAUAUUAAUUCCCCUUGAGUGGGAGCCGGGGACGGAUAGGGACGGAGGUCCUGGAAAUAUGCAGAGAAGGGAGGGAAAGGCCGCUUCCGGCCGCCUGCUUCCGCGGUCUGUGGGGAACGCGAGGCGAGGCAGGCCGCGAAGAGAGGAGCAAAUGGAUGACCUCAGCGGCGCGGCACCUUGACCUUCUGCAGGGCAGGCCUCGGCAGUAAGAGUUCCACACUCCGUUUUGUGCGUGUUUUCCCCAAACACGUCCCCUCUCCCCUCCGGUUUCCUUGGAAAAGGCGACCGGAGUCAGCGACCCGCUGCCUCCAAGUGUCUCGGCCACAUCGUCUCCAGCCUUCCGCAAGUGUAUACAAGCUGAAUAUCCCGAACACAGCUUGGUCUCUUACCUCCCAGUUCCUUUCAGGCUCUGCACGCCUUUUGCACCUACCACCACCAGUUUCCAGCGUGGAUACCAGGAUGUCUGUCUGGGGUGCCAUUUAUUGCCUUUCUGGCGCCCAGCACUGACUAAGUUCUGCCGACUGUACCCCUGCAGGAAUUCUGACGUUCAGGGCGAAGCUCCCGUUAUCACCCCCCGAGCAGCGGGAAUGCAGUACCUUUCCCAUGGUGCCGUUCCUCCAGCACGUCCCCUUAUCAGUCCGUCUUGCAUUCAGCUGCCAUAGCCUCCCUUUGACCCUGUGAUCUGGAAGCAAAACACAUCAGCAGAAGACCCUAAGGAAUCCUGGCGUCCAGAGAGCCCUGCAUUCUGAGGCUGUGAGUGAGCCAGGACAAUGACCAUUCUCAAGAUGGUGAAACUGCAGUGCAAAGGGGCAUCUCAUUUAGUCAAGGGCACAGCUGCCACGUUCAACAACUUUGGUGCUGCUGAUCGGCCCUGGGCUCUUCCGCUCGGCUGAUGUGGACCUGCAGGAGGCAGGAGCGCUGCCCGGCAGCCUCUGCGCCAGGAAGUGAGCACCACAAGGGCUCAUCCUAAGCCAAACGACAGCACUCAUCUUAAAGAUUAGUACCCUUCCUUCACAUUUUGUGGCUGCUUUGUGUGCUCCAUUGGCUAGCUCUAGUAAUCCACUUCAGGGCCUUGGUCCUUCCCAGCUCUUCAUCGGAUAUACGAGUUACACUUAGACGAGACCUUGGAGAUGCACAGAGAAGCCAAGGGACUUAUCCAGAAUUUACUCUCAACCACUCCUUAUCCCACCCAUACUACCAUCAUCCUUCCUCCACGUAAUUUUCCAGAAUCUUUUUCAUUGACCUGAUCAUCACAGUGGUGCAGCCAUGAGAGAGGGAGGUGUUGAGACCAUCUGGACUGAACCCAAUUAAUGCCUCCGUACAAACUUUAAAGAUUCUGGUGGCUGGUGCAGAGAUCUACUCAUCUUGCACUUGCCCAAGACGAGCCUCAAAACUCCGUGCUGAUGACUCCAGCCAUCCAUGCUAUCUGAGCUUUUGACUCAUAAACACUCCUGCCAACUAGAAACCUCUCUCUGGAUGUCCGACAGGCAUCUCCAGCACACAGUCUGAAUGCAAUCCCAGUGUUCCCCAGUCUGUGGAGUAUGGAGCCUGUCCCCGCCACGCACCACCUGUUGACAUCCCACGGAAACACCACUUUAUGUAAACUUUCUGGAGUAAAGACAAAUGAAGAGCUGUUUUAGAAAUUGCAUUUUAAUUAAAAAUGUACUGGCUCUAUUGAAAGGGAGACACUGAAUGUCCGGCCUGUUCUGCCACAGCCCUCUUUGAUCCCCCGCACCCCGGGCGGUUGUGGGGAGGGGUCGGUUGUGUCGUCAUUGAAAACGGCUCCCAGGCUCCGUUCGGCUGGCCUGGGUCAGAAGGGCCCCCGGUGAAAUUUCAGCUCCCAGGCGGGUUGGUAUCCAGUGUCUUCCUCUGUGAGCACUGACCUCAGACGUGGUAGAUAGAAACUUCCCAGCUUAGUUGCGUACAACAACCCAGCCGGAGCUAAAGGGAGAACGCGAUGUCACCAGCUAUCUAUAGUCAUUCCCUAACUGACACCUGGCCGAGGAAUACCUGGCUUGUUUGUUCUAAAUUAGGACUAUAUCUCAUUGUCAUCCCUCGGCCGUGGGGAACUGAGCCAGGGGACAGGGCUGCCAGAACUUGGGAUCACCCAAGGCCUUGGGCAGCAGAGGUAGAGGUGAGAGGCUGGAUGUAGCCCCGUGUGGGGCGCACUGGGGGAGGCCUGUGUGUGGGAAAGCAGCCUGGUGGUCUGGCCGGCUCCUGGGAGCUCGGCACAGUCUGGCCGGGAGCCUCUCCCUGCACAGCCCCAGGAGGCUGGCUUGGCCCCACCUUAUUGGUGGAACACUCUGGUUUCUUUUUUUCUCCCAAAUCUGCCUUUCAUGGGCAAGAAUCACUUCAGGCUCUCACAUGCAGAUUCCCAUACCGGUCUCAGAAGGGCUGAAUCGGUCUGUGUAAUAAAUGCCCUGUGUGAGCUACACCAGGAGGGCAGUCUUGGGGACACUGCUCCAGCUGCUCAGGGGGCGUACGCAGCAGUAUUGGGCUCAGUCCCUUCCUCCAGGUGCUUUUGUUUCCUGUCACUUUGUUUUGGGGGCCCAACUUGGGUUCUGUAAGAGUCUCAUGCUGUCUCAGAAGGGACCACGAGGGUCUUGUCCUCCUCAUCCCCAUCUUCAGGGUUCUGCAGUCCUAGGCCCUCUAGCCACGGGCAGGUCAGAGCCAGAUGCUGGCACCCAGCUAGAAUAAGUAUGUGUAUGUUUUCUUCCUUUCUCAGCUCAGCCUUCCCCUCCUUGUAAUGAGAAGUAGUUUUGAAGAGGCAGUUUGGUAUCUUUUAUAAAGUUAAACCUCUUAUCUGCUCUAAUUAGUCAAGGAUAUUUAUCAAGCACAUACAAGGUGCAGAACAGGACUGAAAAAUAAACAUGUCCCUGAUUUCUUGGCAUUGAAUAACUAGUUCAGACUUGGGAUAACAAGAAAGUUCUGGAGGUGGUUGGUGGUGAUGGUAGUAGCGCAGCACUAUGGACAUUCUUAAUUCCAUUAAACUGAACUUAAAGACGAGUAAAAUGGUAAAUGUCUUGUUACGUAUGUGUUUCCACAACGAGGGAAAAGCCGAACUUGUUCUGGAGACAGUGCACCCAAAAACCAACUGAAGAAGACAUUUAUAAAGUGUUAAACCAGCAAACGUAAAGAAGCACAUGAAUUUAAAGGGAUGCUUGAGUAAAGGAAACCAAACACCUGUACAACUUCUGUACUGUAGGGUCAGAAUUGGCAGUUUGGAGAAUUAUGCAGAUGAGAGAAAUUCAU